rnacentral:rRNA from 1 species
AUUGAACGCUGGCGGCAGGCCUAACACAUGCAAGUCGGGCGGAGCGGCGGACGGGUGAGUAAUGUAUGGGCAUCUGCCUGAUGGAGGGGGCUCACGUCCGGAAACGGGCGCUAAUACCGCAUACUAUUAGAUGAGCCUCGGUCGGAUUAGCUAGUUGGUGGGGUAAAGGCCUACCAAGGCGACGAUCCGUAACUGGUCUGAGAGGAUGAUCAGUCACACUGGAACUGAGACACGGUCCAGACUCCUACGGGAGGCAGCAGUGGGGAAUAUUGGACAAUGGGCGAAAGCCUGAUCCAGCCAUGCCGCGUGUGUGAAGAAGGUCUUCGGAUUGUAAAGCACUUUAAGUUGGGAGGCGUUACCAACAGAAUAAGCACCGGCUAACUUCGUGCCAGCAGCCGCGGUAAUUC